UACAGAGGGGGCAAGCGUUGUUCGGAAUUACUGGGCGUAAAGGGCGCGUAGGCGGCCUUCUAAGUCGAACGUGAAAUCCCCGGGCUCAACCCGGGAACUGCGUCCGAGACUGGAAGGCUCGAAUCCGGGAGAGGGAUGUGGAAUUCCAGGUGUAGCGGUGAAAUGCGUAGAUAUCUGGAGGAACACCGGUGGCGAAGGCGACAUCCUGGACCGGUAUUGACGCUGAGGCGCGAAAGCCAGGGGAGCAAACGGG
rnacentral:rRNA from 1 species